rnacentral:lncRNA from 1 species
UUAACAUUAAUUCUUGCUGUUCACAGGAGACGGGAUACACAUACAUCAUGCCGAAGAACAUCCUGAAGAAGUUCAUAUGCGUAGCAGAUCUUCGAACUCAAAUUGCUGGAUAUCUAUAUGGUAUCAGCCCACCGGAUAAUCCCCAGGUUAAGGAAAUCCGUUGUGUUGUGAUGGUGCCGCAGUGGGGAAGUCAUCAGCAUGUGAACCUGCCGUCAGCUCUUCCUGAGCAUGAUUUCCUUAAUGAUCUCCAUUAAUUCUUGCUGUUCACAGGAGACGGGAUACACAUACAUCAUGCCAAAGAACAUCCUGAAGAAGUUCAUAUGCGUAGCAGAUCUUCGAACUCAAAUUGCUGGAUAUCUAUAUGGUAUCAGCCCACCGGAUAAUCCCCAGGUUAAGGAAAUCCGUUGUGUUGUGAUGGUGCCGCAGUGGGGAAGUCAUCAGCAUGUGAACCUGCCGUCAGCUCUUCCUGAGCAUGAUUUCCUUAAUGAUCUCGAGCCAUUGGGAUGGCUGCACACACAGCCUAACGAGCUACCUCAAUUGGCACCACAGGUAGUAUUAUUAUAUAC